rnacentral:miRNA from 1 species
GUUCAACCCCGAGGUUGAAAUUUCAACCCUGCUAGCUGAAACAGGGUUGAAAUUUUAACCCCGGGGUUGAAA